rnacentral:tRNA from 1 species
GAGAAAGUCAUAGUGGUUAUGGUGUUGGCUUGAAACCAACUUCAGAGGGUUCAAAUCCUUCCUUUCUUA